rnacentral:rRNA from 1 species
GACGAACGCUGGCGGCGUGCCUAAUACAUGCAAGUCGAGCGAAGCGGCGGAUGGGUGAGUAACGCGUGGGUAACCUGCCCUUAAGUCUGGGAUACCAUUUGGAAACAGAUGCUAAUACCGGAUACUAAAGGACGGACCUGCGAUGCAUUAGCAAGUGGGGAAGGUAACGGCUUACCAAGGCGAUGAUGCAUAGCCGAGUUGAGAGAAUGAUCGGACACAUUGGGACUGAGACACGGCCCAAACUCCUACGGGAGGCAGGAGUAGGGAAUCUUCCGCGAUGGACGAACGUCUGAUGAAGCAACGCCGAGUGAGUGAAGAGGGUUUUCGGAUCGUAAAGCUCUGUUGUUGGUGAAGCGGUAAUCAACCAGAAAGUCCCGGCUAACUACGUGCCAGCAGCCGCGGUAAUUG